AAAUUAUAUAUAUAUAUAUAUAAAUAUAUAUAUAUAUAUAUAUAUAUAUAUAAUUUCAUAUAUAUUUCAUAUAUAUAUUAUCAUAUAAAGAACUGAGAACUGGGUAUUAUUAUCUGUAAUUGUAUAAUUUGUAAAUAUAAAUAUUGCUGUAUAUUGUAAAUAUUUCUCUAUACUGUAGUUAUGUUAAGCCUUUUUCUAAUACAUAAUAUUAGAUUACAGUUUUUCUCAAUUGCUAAAACACUAAACCCUAUUGUCUGAACCAAAUGCUCAGUUGCCUGAACCCACUGAUUGAAUCAAUCACUCUUUUGGCAAAACCAUAAGCACUUUUCACCUGUUUAGACACAACUUGCCAACACAUUUUCAUUGUGAUGCACCCGUGCUGCAUAAUGGUGAGCACAGGUGACAAAAGUCAAACACAAUUAAAGCACAGAUGAGACCACUUGAACACAACAACUCAAAAUUGAUCACACUUGUGGCUAAUGAUGUGAAGGAACAUAUACAGUAAGCCAGUUCAGAGAGCACUGGUUUGUGAGGCCCUACAAUGGAUAGAAAUCUGAGAGGAAGAGUUCGUGUGAGAGGAGGUCGAGGGGGUCGAGGUGGUCAGCAAAGACAAAGAACAGUAAUAUCUGAUGAAAUCAGAGCUACUGUGAUUGACCAUGUUCUUGUCCAUGGUAUGAGCAUGAGGGAGGCUGGACAAAGGGUACAACCAAACAUCAGUAGAUUCACUGUGUCCACCAUAAUCUGAAGAUUUAGAGAAGAGAACAGGUAAUUACCUUUUUUUGACAUUAUAGUAUAGUAUGUAAAUGUUGACAGCAAUUACUCUAUGACAUACUAUAUACUGUACCACAGUAUACUGUAAGUAAAUAUAUGUUUCAGUACAUCACUAUACCAAUAUACUGUAGUAUUGUAAUGGAGGAUUGGUCUAACUGUUUGUAGGCCUAGUAUUCCAUGUAUAUUUUUUGUAACUCCAUGUUCCCUUUUUGUAGAAUUGAAAGACUGCCACAUGGGGGUGGGAGGACAGGUAUGUUCUCCCGACAUCAAGAGACCCUAAUUGUUGAUAUGGUCCGUGAGAACAUUGCCAUUAAACUGAGUGAAAUUCAGCAGAAGAUCAUUGAGGACCAUGUAAAUUUUGAGGGUAUCAACAGUGUCAGCCUCUCUACUGCUGAUCGUGUCCUCAAGCGCAACAGACUGCGCAUGAAACAGCUAUACAGAGUGCCCUUUGAUCGCAACUCAGACAGAGUCAAAGAGCAAAGAUUCCAGUAUGUACAGAGGGUUUUUCAACUGGAUGCAAUGGAAAGACCCCAUGAAUACAUCUACAUGGAUGAAGCUGGGUUUAAUCUCACCAAAAGGAGAAGGAGAGGCCGUAAUGUGAUUGGCCAUCGGGCCAUUGUUGGUGUUCCUGGGCAGCGUGGUGGCAAUGUCACAUUAUGUGCUGCCAUCAGCAAUCAUGGGGUUGUCCACCAUCAUGCCAACCUGGGACCCUACAACACUCACCAGCUCCUCAUUUUCCUCAAUCACAUACGAGAUGCUCUGUAA
ensembl:lncRNA